GGGGAAUUUUGCGCAGUGGGCUAACGCCUGACGCAGCAACGCCGCGUGGAGGAUGAAGGUCUUUGGAUUGUAAACUCCUGUCAGCGGGGAAAAAGCAACUCGACCUCAUACGUCGGGGAGUUGAUUGUACCUGCAGAAGAAGCCCCGGCCAACUACGUGCCAGCAGCCGCGGUAAUACGUAGGGGGCGAGCGUUGUCCGGAUUUAUUGGGCGUAAAGAGCUCGUAGGUGGCUGUUCAAGUCGGGUGUGAAAUCCCAAGGCUUAACUUUGGGUCUGCAUUCGAUACUGGGUGGCUUGAGUCUGGUAGGGGGACCUGGAAUUCCUAGUGUAGCGGUGGAAUGCGCAGAUAUCAGGAGGAACACCGGUGGCGAAGGCGGGGUCCUGGGCCAGUACUGACGCUGAGGAGCGAAAGCGUGGGGAGCAAAC
rnacentral:rRNA from 1 species